AUGGCGGCGGCGGCGGCAAAGCCCGUGCCAGUGGAGCGGCUCGGGCAGCGACUGGUGGCGCCGGCGGCUCCGACGCCGGAGAGCCCUCUGCGCCUGUCGUGGCUCGACCGCUACCCCACUCAGAUGGCACUCAUCGAGUCGCUGCACGUGUUCAAGCCCGACAUGGCCAGGGAGGGUGACAGCCCCGCGAGGGCCGUGGAGCAGGCCCUGGCGAGGGCGCUGGUGGAGUACUACCCGCUGGCAGGCCGCCUCACGGUGACCAACGCCGGCGAGCUGCAGGUGGACUGCAGCGACGGAGGCGUGUGGUUCAUUGAGGCUGCCGUCAGGUGUCGGCUAGAGGACGUGGACUAUCUCGAGUACCCGCUCGCCGUGGACAAGGACGAGCUGCUCCCCCACCCGCGCCCCAAGCCCAGCCGUGAGGAGGAGAGCAAGCUCAUCUUGCUUGUCCAGGUCACGACGUUCGAUUGCGGCGGCUUCGUGGUGGGGUUCCGGUUCAGCCACACGGUGGCCGACGGGCCCGGGGCGGCGCAGUUCAUGGGCGCGGUGGGGGAGCUGGCGCGCGGGGCGGGCCGCAUCUCGGUGGCACCGGUGUGGGGCCGCGACGCGAUCCCUGACCCGGCCGGCGCCCUCGUCGGCAGCCUCCCGGACCCCGCGGGCGCCAAGCGGCUGGAAUACCUCGCCAUAGACAUCUCCGCCGACUACAUCAACCACUUCAAGGGCCAGUUCGCGGCGGCCACCGGUGGCGCCCGGUGCUCAGCGUUCGAGGUGCUCAUCGCCAAGGCCUGGCAGAGCCGCACGCGCGCCGUUUGCUUCGACGAGGGUUCCCCCGUGCACCUCUGCUUCGCGAUGAACGCGCGGCCGCUCCUCCACGCCCGCCUUCCCUCCGGGGGCGCCGGCUUCUACGGCAACUGCUACUACAUCAUGCGCGUCUCCUCCACCGCCGGGAAGGUGGCGUCCUCCACCAUCACCGACGUCGUGAAGAUCAUCAAGGAGGGGAAGAAGCGGCUGCCCUCGGAGUUCGCGCGGUGGGGCGCCGGCGAGAUGGCGAGCGUCGACCCGUACCAGAUCACCUCCGACUACCGGACGCUGCUCGUCUCCGACUGGACGCGGCUGGGCUUCGCCGAGGUGGACUACGGGUGGGGCCCGCCCGCCCACGUCGUGCCGCUGACAAACCUGGACUACAUCGCCACGUGCAUCCUCGUCAAGCCCUGGGUACACAAGCCAGGCGCCCGGCUCAUCACGCAGUGCGUGACGCCGGACCGUGUCGCCGCUUUCCACGACGCCUUGGUGGACACCAACUAG
rnacentral:rRNA from 1 species